AUUGAACGCUGGCGGCAGGCCUAACACAUGCAAGUCGAACGACUGGCGGACGGGUGAGUAAUGUCUGGGAAACUGCCCGCUGGAGGGGGAUAGCUACUGGAAGCGGUAGAUAAUACCGAAUCUCAUAGGAUGUGCCCAGAUGGGAUUAGCUUGUAGGUGGUGUAACGGCUCACCUAGGCGACGAGCCCUAGCUGGUCUGAGAGGAUGACCAGCAAAACGGGAACUGAGACACGGUCCAGACUCCUACGGGAGGCAGCAGUGGGGAAUAUUGCACAAUGGGCGCAAGCCUGAUGCAGCCAUGCCGCGUGUAUGAAGAAGGCCUUCGGGUUGUAAAGUACUUUCAGCGAGGAGGCGUUACUCGCAGAAGAAGCACCGGCUAACUCCGUGCCAGCAGCCGCGGUAAUAC
rnacentral:rRNA from 1 species